CUUAGUGAUUGCCUAAUUAGGGAUUUACAAUGUUGAAACCCUAAUUAGGGUUUUACUAUGUUGAAACCCUAAUUAGGGAUUUACUAUGUUGAAACCCUAAUUAAGGAUUUUUCUAGUUUUUGGAGUCAAGGAAUGGUCAAAUUAGGGUUUCGAAGAGCUACGUUCCUGUGGGGAUUUUAGCGAGAUCUGGUGGAUCGAAAUUGUUCUGAACAAAAUGCCACUGAAUCAUUAUAAGGGCUUGAAUUAUGGGUUUUGGAGGUUUUAGGGUAUCUGCCUUAGUAGCUGUGGCAUGGGGAUGGGGAAAUCUCCAGGAAAAUGGAUCAAGACGGUUCUGUUCGGGAAGAAAUCUUCCAGAUCUGGAGCAUCGAAAGGAAGAGAGGCUUUGAUCUUUUGAGGGAGAUGUUUGUGAACCAAAGGGAAUGAACUUUGUGCUUUGGAUUUUGCCAUGGAAGGUGGCAGUGAUCCGGAAGGGAGUCAGUUUCUGAGGUUUCUCUUUUCUCCAUUUUCAUUUUUUUUUUUUCAUUUGAGAAUGUUGAAUUGUGUCAAUCUCUAUGGAAAGAACUGCAGUUUUAGAUUUUGAAGUUGUCAGUUAUUGGAAGGAUCCUUAACCACUCAAUAGGGCCAAACAAAUAAACCACAACAAGGUCUUCAAAUCUGAGUCAUUCAUAAUACAUGGGCCACCCAGACUAAUGCCAAGUACAAAUUGAAAACUGAGCUUAGUGGGCCAACUCUUAGACU